AUCUGGUUGAUCCUGCCAGAGGCGACCGCUUUUGGAGUUCGAUUAAGCCAUGCGAGUAGAAUGAAUUAGAUCAUUGCAAACUGCUCAGUAACACGUGGAUAACCUGCCCUAUGCUCUGGGAUAACCUCGGGAAACUGAGAAGAAUACCGGAUAGACCACAACGCCUGGAACGGUGUGUGGUUGAAAGGUCACGGCAUAGGAUGGGUCUGCGGCGUAUCAGGUCGUAGGGGGUGUAACGGACCUCCUAGCCAUCGACGCGUACGGGUUGUGGGAGCAAUAGCCCGGAGAUGGAUUCUGAGACACGAAUCCAGACCCUACGGGGUGCAGCAGGCGCGAAAACUUCACACUGCAGGAAACUGUGAUGAGGGAACUCCAAGUGACUGCACAUUGUGUAGCCUUUUCUUUACUAUUAAUCGGUAUUGGAAUAAGGGCUGGGAAAGACCGGUGCCAGCCGCCGCGGUAAUACCGGCAGCUCAAGUGGUCGUCGCUUUUAUUGGGCCUAAAACGUCCGUAGCCUGUUUGGUAAAUCUGUGGGUAAAUCA
rnacentral:rRNA from 1 species